rnacentral:tRNA from 1 species
AGGAAAAUUAACUAUAGGUAAAGUAGAUUAUUUGCUAAGUAAUUGAAUUGUAAAUUCUUAUGAGUUCGAAUCUCAUAUUUUCCGUUU